rnacentral:rRNA from 1 species
UACGUAGGGUCCAAGCGUUAUCCGGAAUCACUGGGCGUAAAGCGUGCGUAGGUGGAUGUUUAAGUGAGAGGUUAAAUCGUGCGGCUCAACCAUAUCGAUGCCUCUCAUACUGGGCAUCUAGAGGACAGCAGAGGCAAGUGGAACUAGUAGUGUAGCAGUGAAAUGCGUAGAUAUUACUAAGAACACCAAUGGCGAAGGCAGCUUGCUGGGCUACUCCUGACACUGAGGUACGAAAGCGUGGGGAGCGAACAGG